rnacentral:tRNA from 1 species
GGUAGCGUGGCCGAGUGGUCUAAGGCGCUGGUUUUAGGCACCAGUCUCUUUGGAGGCGUGGGCUCGUAUCCCACCGCUGCCA